rnacentral:lncRNA from 1 species
UAGUAGUUACAAAGUUACAAUUUUAAACAUAUUGCCAGGAAGUUUGAAAUUUAUACAGAAUCACUUAUCACAUUGUAGAUUUUGGUAAGUGAGUUUGAUAACUUAUUGUGGGUAGUUUUAUGCCAAUUUAUUAUAUCAUCAGGUGCCAAAUAUGAAAAAGUCUGUACUGAUGGUAGCUUUGGUGCCGGACGAUGUUGGGAAGCCAACGGUGAAACUAGAGAAAGUUGCUGUCCAGGAUGGAACCUGUUUAUGGGAGAAUCCAAUUUUUGAAUCAGUUAAACUCGCUAAGGACACAAAAUCAGGAAAACUUCAGGAGAAAAUCUACCAUUUUAUUGUUUCAACUGUAAGAAGUAGAUUUAAUUGCAUACUAUCUUUUACCUGUCUAGGAUAUGUUGCUGGAAAGUCUAAUCUCUAUAGGUUCUUGCAGGGAUCUUCAAAAUCUGGCUUUCUUGGAGAAUCCUCGAUUGACUUUGCUG